AACGAACGCUGGCGGCAGGCUUAACACAUGCAAGUCGAACGGUUGUAGCAAUACAGCAGUGGCAGACGGGUGAGUAACACGUGGGAACCUUCCUAGGGGGUACGGAACAACUCAGGGAAACUUGAGCUAAUACCGUAUACGUCCGUGAGGAGAAAGAUUUAUCGCCCUUAGACGGGCCCGCGUCGGAUUAGCUAGUUGGUGGGUAACGGCCUACCAAGGCGACGAUCCGUAGCUGAUCUUAGAGGAUGAUCAGCCACACUGGGACUGAGACACGGCCCAGACUCCUACGGGAGGCAGCAGUGGGGAAUCUUGGACAAUGGGCGCAAGCCUGAUCCAGCCAUGCCGCGUGAGUGAAGAAGGUCUUCGGAUUGUAAAGCUCUUUGCCAGGGACGAUAAUGACGGUACCUGGAGAAUAAGCCCCGGCAAACUUCGUGCCAGCAGCCGCGGUAAU
rnacentral:rRNA from 1 species